rnacentral:lncRNA from 1 species
CAAAAAAUUAUUUUCUCACAAGUCUGCUAAUCAAUAUGAAGAAAUUUUUGAUGACAGGUCACAACACCAAAG